UCCACUCUGGUACCCUCAGAGACAAAAGGAAGAAAUAUUACUCAACACAGUUCACUCCCAGCUGUUCGGUUAUAAGUUACAGGAUGACUCAAGAAUGGAUGAGGACAAGAGGCCUUCUGAUCAUGAAGUGUGGUUCUUCUCAAAGCCCAGAAACAGGGAGGAAAAAUCAAGGCUAAGAGAAGCCAUGGAGAAACAUUAAGUCUGAGAUGAAUAGAGAUGUGAAGGCCUGGAAAAUUGGAAAAAUCCCUGCUUUCUUCUUCCCCAAAAGCCAAAAUAAAAAGUUUUUCAUUAGUUAAAC